AAGGAUCAUUACCGAGUGUUUGACUGUAAAAAGUCUACCUCCCACCCAAUUGUUUAUCUUACAAGUUGCUUCGGCGGGGCGUCUGCAUUAUUUAUUUAUAUUGCGGCCGUCGGCUAACGCGGACGAGUUCCCGCCGGAGGACCACAAACUCUAUUUUAAUGUCGUCUGAGCACAAUACAAAAAAGUUAAAAACUUUCAACAACGGAUCUCUUGGUUCUG
rnacentral:misc_RNA from 1 species